ACGAACGCUGGCGGCGUGCCUAAUGCCUGCAAGUCGCACGCGGCACCUUCGGGUGCUGAGUGGCGAACGGCUGAGGAACACGUGGGGACCUGUCCGGGAGUGGGGGACAACACCGCGAAAGCGGUGCUAAUCCCGCAUACGCUCUGAGGAGGAAAGCCGAAAGGCGCUCCCGGGUGGCCCUGCGGCCCAUCAGGUUGUUGGUGGGGUAACGGCCUACCAAGCCAAUGACGGGUCGCUGGUCUGUGAGGACGACCAGCCAGACUGGGACUGGGACACGGCCCAGACUCCUACGGGAGGCAGCAGCAAGGAAUUUUCGGCAAUGGGCGCAAGCCUGACCGAGCAACGCCGCGUGCAGGAAGACGGCCUUCGGGUUGUAAACUGCUUUUGCUAGGGAGGAUAACAGACAGUACCUGGCGAAUCAGCCCCGGCUAACUCUGUG
rnacentral:rRNA from 1 species